CCUUUUGUAUAAUGGGUCAGCGACUUAUAUUCUGUAGCAAGGUUAACCGAAUAGGGGAGCCGAAGGGAAACCGAGUCUUAACUGGGCGUUAAGUUGCAGGGUAUAGACCCGAAACCCGGUGAUCUAGCCAUGGGCAGGUUGAAGGUUGGGUAACACUAACUGGAGGACCGAACCGACUAAUGUUGAAAAAUUAGCGGAUGACUUGUGGCUGGGGGUGAAAGGCCAAUCAAACCGGGAGAUAGCUGGUUCUCCCCGAAAGCUAUUUAGGUAGCGCCUCGUGAAUUCAUCUCCGGGGGUAGAGCACUGUUUCGGCAAGGGGGUCAUCCCGACUUACCAACCCGAUGCAAACUGCGAAUACCGGAGAAUGUUAUCACGGGAGACACACGGCGGGUGCUAACGUCCGUCGUGAAGAGGGAAACAACCCAGACCGCCAGCUAAGGUCCCAAAGUCAUGGUUAAGUGGGAAACGAUGUGGGAAGGCCCAGACAGCCAGGAUGUUGGCUUAGAAGCAGCCAUCAUUUAAAGAAAGCGUAAUAGCUCACUGGUCGAGUCGGCCUGCGCGGAAGAUGUAACGGGGCUAAACCAUGCACCGAAGCUGCGGCAGCGACGCUUAUGCGUUGUUGGGUAGGGGAGCGUUCUGUAAGCCUGUGAAGGUGUGCUGUGAGGCAUGCUGGAGGUAUCAGAAGUGCGAAUGCUGACAUAAGUAACGAUAAAGCGGGUGAAAAGCCCGCUCGCCGGAAGACCAAGGGUUCCUGUCCAACGUUAAUCGGGGCAGGGUGAGUCGACCCCUAAGGCGAGGCCGAAAGGCGUAGUCGAUGGGAAACAGGUUAAUAUUCCUGUACUUGGUGUUACUGCGAAGGGGGGACGGAGAAGGCUAUGUUGGC
rnacentral:rRNA from 1 species